GCCAGUGUGGCGUAGUGGUUUGAGUGUUGGACUGCAAUUCUGGACACCAAGGUUCAAAUCUUGGCUUGGCCA